rnacentral:rRNA from 1 species
GACGAACGCUGGCGGCGGGCUUAACACAUGCAAGUCGAACGGAAAGGCCCUGCUUUUGUGGGGUGCUCGAGUGGCGAACGGGUGAGUAACACGUGAGUAACCUGCCCUUGACGUUGGGAUAACUUCAGGAAACUGGGGCUAAUACCGGAUAGGAGCUCCUGCUGCAUGGUGGGGGUUGGAAAGUUUCGGCGGUUGGGGAUGGACUCGCGGCUUAUCAGCUUGUUGGUGGGGUAGUGGCUUACCAAGGCUUUGACGGGUAGCCGGCCUGAGAGGGUGACCGGCCACAUUGGGACUGAGAUACGGACCAGACUGCUACGGGAGGCAGCAGUGGGGAAUAUUGCACAAUGGGCGGAAGCCUGAUGCAGCAACGCCGCGUGCGGGAUGAAGGCCUUCGGGUUGUAAACCGCUUUCGCCUGUGACGAAGCGUGAGUGACGGUAAUGGGUAAAGAAGCACCGGCUAACUACGUG